rnacentral:rRNA from 1 species
UGGGGAAUAUUGCACAAUGGGGGAAACCCUGAUGCAGCGACGCCGCGUGAACGAAGAAGGUAUUCGUAUCGUAAAGUUCUGUCCUAUGGGAAGAUAAUGACAGUACCAUAGAAGAAAGCUCCGGCUAAAUACGUGCCAGCAGCCGCGGUAAUACGUAUGGAGCGAGCGUUGUCCGGAAUUAUUGGGCGUAAAGGGUACGCAGGCGGUUUAAUAAGUCGAAUGUUAAAGAUCGGGGCUCAACCCCGUAAAGCAUUGGAAAUUGAUAUACUUGAGUAGUGGAGAGGAUAGUGGAAUUCCUAGUGUAGUGGUGAAAUACGUAGAUAUUAGGAGGAAUACCAGUAGCGAAGGCGACUUUCUGGACACAAACUGACGCUGAGGUACGAAAGCGUGGGGAGCAAACAGG